rnacentral:rRNA from 1 species
GCAGUGUUGUCGUCAGCUCGUGUCGUGAGAUGUUGGGUUAAGUCCCGCAACGAGCGCAACCCUCGACCUUAGUUGCCAGCAUUCAGUUGGGCACUCUAAGGUGACUGCCGGCUAAAAGUCGGAGGAAGGUGGGGAUGACGUCAAAUCAUCAUGCCCCUUAUGACCUGGGCUACACACGUGCUACAAUGGGCGGUACAAAGGGUCGCGAACCCGCGAGGGGGAGCCAAUCCCAAAAAGCCGCUCUCAGUUCGGAUUGCAGGCUGCAACUCGCCUGCAUGAAGCCGGAAUCGCUAGUAAUCGCGGAUCAGCAUGCCGCGGUGAAUACGUUCCCGGGCCUU